CAGCAGCCGCGGGAAUACGUAGGCAGCGAGCGUUGUUCGGAAUUACUGGGCGUAAAGAGUGUGUAGGCGGUGCUCUAAGUUCGGUGUGAAAUCUCCCGGCUUAACUGGGAGGGUGCGCCGGAAACUGGAAUGCUCGAACGUGGGAGAGGAAAGCGGAAUUCCUGGUGUAGCGGUGAAAUGCGUAGAGAUCUGGAGGAAUACCGAUGGCGAAGGCAGCCAUCUGGCCUAAUACUGACGCUGAGGUACGAAAGCAUGGGGAGCAAACAGGAUUAGAUACCCGAGUAGUCCCUGUCUCUUAUAC
rnacentral:rRNA from 1 species